CAUUUGUUUAUUUUUGUUGGCCCACCCAAAAUGUCACUUGGCCCACCCUAAAGUUCCAAGCUGGAGCCGGGCCUGAUCACAGAGGUGAUUUAUUCUAGUCUCAACGUUACAGGGAGGCUUUUAUUGAGUACAGUACAGAAAUUAAGAAAGCAUCUUUUACAUUUGCUAUUUAUUAUUAGUUUUUAUUAUUAUUUUAUUGUCAAACAGUGAUUACAUCAGCUUUCUGAUUGCUGGUGUUUGUGUGUGCUUUUUCUGCAGAGCUGUUGUGAUGGAGCUUGACCUGUAGACAAGGGAACUAACAUAUUUGAGGAAAAAAGAAUCCAAAAUAAGAGAUUGGUGUGUGUGGUGAGGGUAAAGAAGUCCACAGCAGCAUCCUGGAAAUGCUGUAAUGCAGGGGUGCCCAAACUCAGUUCUGGACGGCUGGUGUCCUGUAGAGUUUAGAGUCAACUUCAACUAAACUCUGCAAGACAGCAGCAGUUCUGGACUGAGUUUGGCCACUCCUGUUCUCCUGUAGUGAAUUGAACAAUACCCUGCAUCAGUCCAUCUGCCCUUGUGUCCUCAUCUGGACCAAAUGUUGCUGUGGUCUCUUCAUCAUCAGUAUCUCGGGCAUGGACUGCCAUGCAUCACCGUUCUUUUUCAGUCUGACUGCAGCAGUGAGGGAUGUGAUGAUGGCGAAGUCCCUCUGAUCAUCUGCAGAACUGGCCCAGCUGUGUGGAGAUACAGCAAAACAUGGGCUUCUGUCUGUAAUACAUCUCUGUUAGAAUAAAGCUUGGUUUCAUGUGUUGUUGACUUG